rnacentral:rRNA from 1 species
UACGUAGGGGGCAAGCGUUAUCCGGAUUUACUGGGUGUAAAGGGGGCGCAGACGGCAGCGCAAGCCAGGAGUGAAAGCCCGGGGCCCAACCCCGGGACUGCUCUUGGAACUGCGCGGCUGGAGUGCAGGAGGGGCAGGCGGAAUUCCUGGUGUAGCGGUGAAAUGCGUAGAUAUCAGGAGGAACACCGGUGGCGAAGGCGGCCUGCGGGACUGCGACUGACGUUGAGGCGCGAAAGCGUGGGGAGCAAACAGG